rnacentral:rRNA from 1 species
UACGUAGGUGGCAAGCGUUGUCCGGAUUUACUGGGCGUAAAGAGCGCGCAGGCGGUCGUUCAAGUCGCGUGUGAAAGCCCCCGGCUCAACUGGGGAGGGUCACGCGAUACUGAUCGACUCGAAGGCAGGAGAGGGUAGUGGAAUUCCCGGUGUAGUGGUGAAAUGCGUAGAUAUCGGGAGGAAUACCUAUGGCGAAAGCAGGCUUCUGGGCCGUCACUGACACUGAUCUGCGAAAGCUAGGGGAGCAAACAGG